rnacentral:rRNA from 1 species
UACGUAGGGAGCAAGCGUUGUCCGGAUUCACUGGGCGUAAAGGGUGCGCAGGCGGCUUCGUAAGUCAGAGGUGAAAUCUCACGGCUUAACCGUGAAACUGCCUUUGAUACUGCAGAUCUUGAGUUUGGGAGAGGUUGAUGGAAUUCCAGGUGUAGCGGUGAAAUGCGUAGAUAUCUGGAAGAACACCAGUGGCGAAGGCGGUCAACUGGCCCAUAACUGACGCUCAGGCACGAAAGCGUGGGUAGCGAACAGG